AUUGAACGCUGGCGGCAUGCCUUACACAUGCAAGUCGAACGGCAGCACGGGAGCAAUCCUGGUGGCGAGUGGCGAACGGGUGAGUAAUACAUCGGAACGUGCCCAAUCGUGGGGGAUAACGUAGCGAAAGUUACGCUAAUACCGCAUACGACCUACGGAUGAAAGCGGGGGAACGCAAGGCCUCGCGCGCUUGGAGCGGCCGAUGGCAGAUUAGGUAGUUGGUGGGGUAAAGGCCUACCAAGCCUCCGAUCUGUAGCUGGUCUGAGAGGACGAUCAGCCACACUGGGACUGAGACACGGCCCAGACUCCUACGGGAGGCAGCAGUGGGGAAUUUUGGACAAUGGGCGAAAGCCUGAUCCAGCAAUGCCGCGUGCAGGACGAAGGCCUUCGGGUUGUAAACUGCUUUUGUACGGAGCGAAACGGCUUUCACUAAUACUGGGGGCUAAUGACGGUACCGUAAGAAUAAGCACCGGCUAACUACGUGCCAGCAGCCGCGGUAA
rnacentral:rRNA from 1 species